CCUACGGGAGGCAGCAGUGGGGAAUAUUGGACAAUGGGCGCAAGCCUGAUCCAGCAAUUCCGCGUGGGUGAAGAAGGUCUUCGGAUUGUAAAGCCCUUUCGUUGGGGACGAUGAUGACGGUACCCAAAGAAGAAGCCCCGGCUAACUUCGUGCCAGCAGCCGCGGUAAUACGAAGGGGGCUAGCGUUGCUCGGAAUGACUGGGCGUAAAGGGCGCGUAGGCGGCACAACUCGUCAGGCGUGAAAUUCCUGGGCUUAACCUGGGGGCUGCGUUUGAUACGGUUGGGCUAGAGGAUGGAAGAGGCUCGUGGAAUUCCCAGUGUAGAGGUGAAAUUCGUAGAUAUUGGGAAGAACACCGGUGGCGAAGGCGGCGAGCUGGUCCAUUACUGACGCUGAGGCGCGAAAGCGUGGGGAGCAAACAGGAUUAGAUACCCUGGUAGUCCACGCUGUAAACGAUGUGCGCUGGAUGUUGGGUAACUUAGUUACUCAGUGUCGUAGCUAACGCGAUAAGCGCACCGCCUGGGGAGUACGGCCGCAAGGUUGAAACUUAAAGGAAUUGACGG
rnacentral:rRNA from 1 species